rfam:Selaginella moellendorffii unplaced genomic scaffold SELMOscaffold_277, whole genome shotgun sequence.
UGGUAGCACCAGGGGUGCUUGUCCGUCUCAGGGACAGGCUGAGAGAGUCCCUUUGCACCUGAACAGGUUAAUACCUGCGUAGGGAGUGUGCUGCUUGUGCUGU